GACGAACGCUGGCGGCGUGCUUAACACAUGCAAGUCGAACGAAGUGGCGAACGGGUGAGUCACGCGUAAUCAACCUGCCCUUCAGAGGGGGACAACAGUUGGAAACGACUGCUAAUAACGCAUACUGAAGGAGGGGCUGGCGUCGGAUUAGCUAGUUGGAGGGGUAACGGCCCACCAAGGCGAUGAUCAGUAGCCUUGCGGAGAGGAUGGACGGCCACAUUGGGACUGAGACACGGCCCAGGCUCCUCCGGGAGGCAGCAGGGGGGAAACGUCCGCAAUGGACGCAAGUCUGACGGAGCAACGCCGCGUGAGUGAUGACGGCCUUCGCGUUGUAAAGCUCUGUUAAUCGGGACGCGGUACCGGAAUAGAAAGCCACGGCUAACUACGUGCCAGCAGCCGCGGUAAUAC
rnacentral:rRNA from 1 species